AGAUCGGUCAGAAAUCGAUCGUAGAGUGUAAAGGCAUAAGGAAGCUUGACUGUGAGACCUACAAGUCGAGCAGGGACGAAAGUCGGUCUUAGUGAUCUGACGGUACUGAGUGGAAAGGCCGUCACUCAACGGAUAAAAGUUACUCUAGGAUAACAGGCUGAUCUCCCCC
rnacentral:rRNA from 10 species